GGGUGCUUGGCGCAAUGGUAGCGUGUUCGGCUUCGAUUGCCUUACGUAACUACAUACCGAAAGGUUGCAGGUUCGAGUCCUGCAGUGCUCA